rnacentral:rRNA from 1 species
AGAGCAGCAGCAGCCGCGGUAAUACAGAGGGUGCGAGCGUUAAUCGGAUUUACUGGGCGUAAAGCGUGCGUAGGCGGCUUUUUAAGUCGGAUGUGAAAUCCCUGAGCUUAACUUAGGAAUUGCAUUCGAUACUGGGAAGCUAGAGUAUGGGAGAGGAUGGUAGAAUUCCAGGUGUAGCGGUGAAAUGCGUAGAGAUCUGGAGGAAUACCGAUGGCGAAGGCAGUUAUCUGGCCUAAUACUGACGCUGAGGUACGAAAGCAUGGGGAGCAAACAGGAUUAGAUACCCCAGUAGUCCCUGUCUCUUAUAC